AGAGUUUGAUCCUGGCUCAGGAUGAACGCUAGCGGCAGGCUUAAUACAUGCAAGUCGUGGGGCAGCGCAGUGUAGCAAUACAUGGGCGGCGACCGGCAAACGGGUGCGGAACACGUACACAACCUUCCUACAAGUGGGGAAUAGCCCAGAGAAAUUUGGAUUAAUACCCCGUAACAUAUAGAGAUGGCAUCAUUUUUAUAUUAUAGCUAUGGCGCUUGUUGAUGGGUGUGCGGCUGAUUAGGUAGUUGGCGGGGUAACGGCCCACCAAGCCUUCGAUCAGUAGCUGAUGUGAGAGCAUGAUCAGCCACACGGGCACUGAGACACGGGCCCGACUCCUACGGGAGGCAGCAGUAAGGAAUAUUGGACAAUGGGCGCAAGCCUGAUCCAGCCAUGCCGCGUGAAGGAUUAAGGUCCUCUGGAUUGUAAACUUCUUUUAUAAGGGACGAAAAAAGGGAAUUCUUUCUCACUUGACGGUACCUUAUGAAUAAGCACCGGCUAACUCCGUGCCAGCAGC
rnacentral:rRNA from 1 species